AAGGGAUAGGGUUUGCUUUGUUUCAUUUCUUGAUUUCUCCAUAAAUCCUACACUAAAUCAUUGACCCAUUAUACCAAUUCCAUAGGAAAUCACCUAAGGAAGCCAUUCCACCCCUCCAUUUGAGCUGAUUUCGUUUGUGGAGGGAGAUAUUCAUCACCCCAUUUUUCGUGCACUAUUCAUCCAAGGUGGAAAAAGUGAGUUUUUGAUGGAGCUUGGCUUGGAGGUUGCUUUCUAGGCUUUGGGAAGUUGAUUAGUGGUGUACCUAGGGAAAUGAAUCAGAAUCUCUUGAAGAUAUAUAAGUAACUUGUGCAACAAGUAAGGGUAUUGGUAAAGCUUCAAGAGGUGCCCAGAUUCCCGGUGAGUCCUCACUAGGCAGGGACACGACACGUGGCUGAGGCAGUUGACAGAUCGGAUUUUGAGUGGCUGUAGGCUACUACCUUUUGGAGUGUUUGAUGUCUUUUAGUAUUUCCGCAUUUGAUGGAUCACGAUAUUGAUCCUUUAUUUUGUAUAUGGCCUGUAUAUGUUUUGUACAUGUCUGUCACUUGGAGGCAUGUACAUUUGGGUAUUCAGGCACGUUAUAUGAUGAUGUAUUAUUCAGUUUAUGAUUACGUGUUGGAUUGCAUGCUGUUAGAUAUAGUGGCACUGAGCCAAGUCAUGCAUGCGCCCAUGGAUGGGCAUUUGAUUAUAU